rnacentral:lncRNA from 1 species
AGAUUAGUUAUUAUACUGUCUUCCCUCCUGGCUAUAUUUUCUUACUUUGAAUUCAUCAUAUCAAUUGUUGCUGCAUCAUACUGUUGUUGCUGUUCACAGAUCUUUAAUGGAAAUGUCAGUAUAUUAAUUAAUGUCUCUCUAGCAUGCUCUUUAACAUUGAAUUAUAUUUUUUUUUAAUAUGUAGAAUUAUUUCAACAUGAAAGAUGUUACAUACAGUUUUGAUUUUUGCGUUAUGAAAUUUAUACAUAAGCAAAAUAGUUGCACGUUUAAACCAUCACGUUGAACAACAUUCAAAUAUUAGUCCCUAACAUCAAACAUAUAAACAAAAAAGCUACAACAAAUAUAUUAGAAUACUUUUACCUCAAACAAAUUAGAUUUAAUAUCUAUACCAUGCAUCUGACAGCAAAAUAUGAUAAAAUAACCAAUGACUUGGACGUAAAUCUUUCACGCUACAUAUUUAUUGCAGUUUGCUGAAUUGUAAGUAUUCACCGUACACAAGUAAAUUAUUGACAAUAUCUGUAGGCAUUCGAAAUACAAACUGACAUUGGCUUUCAGAUAUAAAUUGAACAAUUGAAUGCUUGAUUAAAACAAAAAUGUUCUCAUUUUUCCACUGUCUUUCUCUAUAUAGCUAGUCAUUAAUGGAUUAUUUCUAAAUUAUGAAUAUUGGAUUUUAACAGCAUCAGAGUGUCACAUUCAUGAACACGGCACAAUCUAGAAUGAUGUAUAAUAUGCCAAACACUGCAAUACCUUCCGAAAACCAUCAAGGAUAUCAUCAAAUGCAGGUGCACCAAAUGCACGGAUUUAAUGAUCAACAGCCGGAAACUAUGCAAGAUUACCAACAACAAGAAGGCUACUCACAGGCCAAUCAGAUAUCUUUACAAGAACACUAUGGACAGAAUUCAAUAGCAUUGGCGGCCGCUGAUGACCAAUAAGAAUCAUAAACGCAUGUCACCCAAUGACACCUGCUGUGGACACAGAUCAGCCGUCAGGUUGACAACAAGUAAUUCAAAUAUUACGAGCGUCAUGUCCUAGGAUAACAUUUUAUUACAAUAAGACAUAUUUGUUACCGAAAGUUAUGCUGAUUAUUAGUUUUCUUUCAUGGAAAAGUGAAAUGAGAUGUACAUAUGUGCAGGUCAGAUUAAGUUCUUGUGUUAUCGACUUGUCGUCUAGAUGAAAAGUUAUAUAAUUUAUAUAUUCUAUUGAACUAUUAAUUCUAAAACAGUACAAUGCUAUUUGAACUUUUCAUUUUGUUUUUUCGGUUAUUUUUGUCUUGCUCAAUGCUCUCUAACUUCGUACUCUAUUUGGCCCUUUUAACAUUUUUGUAUUCUUGUAGACGAAAUGAGCGUCUGGCGUAUAUAUAUAUAGACAAUAAUAGUGCAUUGACUUGACAUAUCAACGAUAUAAGAAUGAGGCUUAGAAACGGGGAAAUGCGAGGCUGUGCCGAGCUUUUUCCCCGUUUCGGGCAGAAUCCUUAUAUCGUUGAUAUGUCAAGUCAAUGCACUAUUAUUGUCUUUAUACUGCAAUCUAAGAAAACCAUUUUCAAUUGUUGUUUAGUGUGUUAAUGUCAUUUAUUUGAUUUAAAUAUUGUGGGAAAUCCCCUUUAAAAAGGCCUCAUAUCACACAGCCGGAGAAAUAUACAAUACGAUGAAAUGUACAUCAUUACCUGUUGAAAACUCCAAUCAAUGGUGAACGAAUUCGUUUGUUUAUAGACUAAAAUAUCAACAAUAAACAUAAAACAUAAUGAUUUAUAGGUUGCAAACAAAAAAUAUUAACACGUGAAACAUGUUUUUUCCAAAAAUUGUAUAAAAAAACAAGUUUGAGUCGUUUAACGCAUCGUUGUUUACAUUGGAAGCACGAACAGGUUGUAGAGGUCGUAUAAAUAAAUAUAUAUAAUUUCGACAAUUUCUAUUUAAAUAUUCAUUAGGAAAAGUGAUAUCAGGUCAGUGACUGUAUAUGACAUAGAAAUAUACUGUCAACGCAUUUUGACUGCUCAAAUAGAAUGAGUGCAGUAUAAAUUAGAUUUCAAUCCUGGUAUCUAUGAUGAGUUUAUUUAAUAAUCCGAAAAACAAAAAUAAUUUGUGGAGAGCUAGUCUAAUAAUCAUACCAAAGACCUGACUUAAGGCUACAAUAGUUUCCUCAUACAGGUGAUCAAUCCUAGUAACAAACAAAACCUGAUGGAAUUACACGAACGCCAAAAGGAACGAGACUGGGUGUCUCGAUAUUGUGUGCGUCUCCUACAAUGAAAAUAUAACCGACAUACGAAUCCCCCUCAGUCAUAAUGUCACAAUCUCGAAUAGAAAACACUCCGUUAACUUACAUAGUCGACUCUAUAGGUGUAUCUUAAGUUUACAGACUGUGUCGCUAGUAAGUUGAGACAAUUACACUUCGUAACGGUCAACAUUUUUUUAUGAUAACCGUUAAGUUUAUGUCGGGUCUUAUGUCAAUAAAUGACUAUUCGGUGAUGAUAGUGUCACAAUUCGUUUAAAACCUUAUCGACAAAAUCGAGCUAAUAAAAAAAAGUAUUAAAAGUAUAACCAAAGCCGGAAUUCAGGGCUUUGCGUUAGCGAUAUAUUCCUUGAUUCAAAGUGAUUUUCAAAAUUUAAAAACAGCAAUUCCAAAAACACCAUAUCUUUUUGUUUCAUGCCAGUACAGAAGUUCAGGCUACAUACUCGAACAUAUUUGGUAUACCCUUGAGAGCUGACUGUUCACCAGCAAAGUUAUUGAACCAGUGGUAGUAAUAACAUAAACAUUUUUUGGUAUCAAUUUGCUAAACAAGAUGUGUAUUGAUCACAUACCUGUUAACGUUCGUGAGCGUAACUUUUUAGAAUUUUUAUCCCCACACUACGGAGCAGAGGGUGUGUAACUGCUAAAAAAUGUGGUAUAGACAAUUGGCACGGUAAAUCAUCACGCGUCAUAAAAUUUCAAUCCUGGUAUCUAUGAUGAGUUUAUUUAGUUAUCCACAAAAUAAACAAAAUUUGUGGAGAGCUAGUCUAAUAAUUAUACCAAAAGACCUGAAUUAAGGCUACAAUAGUUUCCCCAUACAGGUGAUCAAUCCUAGUAACAAACAAAACCUGAAAGAAUCGCACGAACGCCAAAAGGGACGAGACUGGGUGUAUCCAUAUUGGAAUCUUUGGCCUCUCUUUUACUUUCACUUGAAUCCUUAAUCAAUAUACAGUGUAUUGGAUUUAUGAGAUGUGAGCAUUCUUUGAAAUGUAUUCAUCAUGUUCAUUGAAAUGUAGUGGCAGGAUAUCUUCAAUAUAUCUGAAAGUUACAUUAAUGUAUUUUGCA